AGGCACCUUCUAGGAAUGGGUCAGAAAUCCCACAUAUGGGAGGGACCUGGGUUUCAAAGGGGACGAAGGGAUAGGACCCAGGGAAGGAGAUAGAACAAGCCAGUGACUUCCUGCCCUCUGCCACAAUGGCUUGGGCUGGGCAAGGGCUUGUUUCCUUCCUGGCACUGUGUCAGCACUGACUGUGGGUUACGGGGUGGACUUUGGGGCCCUGUGGCAGAUUGGAGUUGGGGUGUUGAUGACUUGUGCACUGCUCAGAUCUCACACCCUGAUGGUAAUGACCCCUAAUUUCUGAGAGGGUGGGAGGGCCCAGGAGGGGAGGCUCCUGGCGGGGUGUGUGUGUGUGUGUGUGUGUGGCAAUCAGGGCUUCCCUUCCCAGAGCUUCUGAUCAGGGAUUUCUAAGGCUCUGAGGUGAUGCUAUCUUGCUUGAGAGGGAAGGAAGUGGGGACACGGUAUUGUGGCAGAUGUGGCCAGCAUUGCCAGCUCCGAGGAAAGUGGCCUGGCUCCAGCCCGGGGCCUGAAGCUAUCAGGAAGGAGCCCAGGGGACCGGCAGGGGUUUGGUGAGCAGAUCACCACAACUUAGCCCCCUCCACACUUUGUCUCAGCCAAAGAGGGAGGUGCUGGGCUGGUUGCCUGGUAAUCAGAGACAAGUCCCACCACCUUUCUGGGCCUCAGCUUCUAUAUGUGCACCAUGAGGAUGUUGGGUCUCUCCAUCUUGAACAUUUGAAGGAAGAAUCCACCUGGAAGGCUUGUUGUGCACACACCACCCACCUCACCACCAUGAGCUUAGAGCAGUGCCUGCUGCAAGAUGAACAUCUUCAAAAUACAGCUGUUGGAGGGCAUGGCUGGCUCUGUCAGCGGAGCGUGCCACGCGUGAUCUCAGGGUGCUCAAGUCUCAAUUCUCCCAAGAAGCCUUCCUGGACUUCUCCAGCCCAUGUUGACUUCCCCGCCUCUGAAUUCCUGCUAUGUGUAAUGAGUGACACCAAUGACUAUUCUGAACUUAGUCAUCGUGGCCUGCCAUCUUGAAUCAUUAAAUCCAUCUCCCUAAUGAGACCUCAAGAUCCUCCAUGGUAGAAAUAAAA